rnacentral:rRNA from 1 species
AACGAACGUUAGCGGCGCGCCUAACACAUGCAAGUCGAGCGAGAAAGGGCUUCGGCCCCGGUAAAGCGGCGCACGGGUGAGUAACACGUGGAUAACCUACCCCCUUGGUGGUGGAUAACCUUCCGAAAGGAGGGCUAAUACAGCGUAAGACCACGACUUCGAAAGAGGUUGAGGUAAAAGUGGGCCUCUGUACACAAGCUCACGCCAGGGGGAUGGGUCCGCGGCCCAUCAGCUAGUUGGUAGGGUAACGGCCUACCAAGGCGAAGACGGGUAGCUGGUCUGAGAGGAUGAUCAGCCACACUGGAACUGAGACACGGUCCAGACUCCUACGGAGGCAGCAGUGGGGAAUCUUAGGCGCAAUGGACGAAGUCUGACGCAGCGACGCCGCGUGAGUGAUGAAGG